rnacentral:lncRNA from 1 species
AUACCUGUCACGACCCAAAUUGGAGGGCCGCAACGGGCACCUGGUACCUUACCCAACAGAGUACUAACGUGACGUAUUCUUUCUUAUCAUACCUUUAUGGGUAAAUGGGACGGAAGGGCUGUCAUGAUAUAACCAGAAUGAGACAUAAGGGAAUACUCAACAUAGGAUGACCCAACAUGAUAUACAAACUUAUACAUGUGACAUGCCUAUAAGACCAAAAUGAACACUCGUACACUGAACAUAGGCCGACAAGGCCAUACAAUCUUUCAUAUGCAUGACAUCUGUCUACAAUCCUCUAAGAGCACAUACAUAUCAUAAGGUUAGGACAGGACCCCACCAUACCAAUCAGUACAUGUCCAAAUCAUAUUGACCAAAUAGGUAACUCUGGAGCAAGUGGAGUGCACCAACACCUUCCGUUGAGCUGAUAGCCUACUAGGAGGAAUGUCAACCUAUCUAUCGGGACCUGCAGCAUGAAAUGCAGUGUCCCCAGGCAAAAGGGACAUCAGUACGAAUAAAGUACCGAAUAUGUAAGGCAGGAAAAUGUAAAUAAGAACAGUAAUGUAAAGAGAGAUAGAGGAGAUACAACCUGUAACAUCUGAGUGCCUCUGGGGGCUACUGACAUGAAAUGCAUAAUACAUAUAUAUACAUAAACUUUUUAAAAUCAUACGCAUCUAUGGGCAUCAUCAUCAUCAUAUCGUACCCGGCCUCAAAGAGGACCCGGUAAAAAAAAUGUACUCGACCAUCAUAAGGCUCGGUAGAAUCGGACCCGACCACGUGGAGCUCGGUAAACCCAACUGAUUAGUUGUUGCACAAUAGGUGUCGUACUCGGCUGACUAUAACGCGCCUCGGUAAAGUAAAAUAGAUACAUAUAUAUAAUGCAUGCUCAACUCAUGGAAUCAUGCUCUAAACCUUUCAGAAUAAUGUAAGGUCAGUAUCCUCUGUACACAUUAUCAGGACUAACUCUUCACUAUGAACCUUAUAAGAAUUAGGAAGUAUCAAAAACAUUGAUAACAUAAGAAUGAGAGAAGCAACAUCAACAUCAAUUGUUCCAUAAGAGGGGAAACAAUUUAAGUACUGCUAGCUUCUAAGAGUAGAGUAUCUUUGGAAGAUCGUUCAUUACAUUACAUACAAUCGGAGUCAUGCAAAAGAAGGAAAAGGAUAGCCUCACAUACCUUGUAUAUGUACUGCCCAACCUCAAGCUAUGCAAAUGUCAUGACUCCUUAGUCUACAAUAAGAGAAAUGACACUAUCGUUAUCGUUUUAGCAUCGUAAUUAUUAUGUAUCGGCCACAACCUAUUUCACAAUGAAAUGGAAAGCACCUCCCCUAUAUAUAUAACUUCACACAAGUCAAAACAAUCACAAACAACCCAACAUAUCUCUAUCACUUCAUACACAACACGACAACCAUAAUAGUAUCAAAUAAUCCGAAAAUGUUACGACGAACGACCAACAAACAACCUUGCCAUUAUGUGGUGUUUCUCUACACCCUUCCUCCUCUCAACUCUAUGAAAACAAUAGCAAAAGAGACAAACCAAUACCAACACAAAACCGCCUACAAAAUAGUCCCACAAGUUCAUCAGCUCAAAAGUAAUUUUUCAGUUUACUUAAACACGUUUCGACUUGUCUUUUCUCUCAAUUGAGAAACACAACCAAAAGUACAUAAUUAUACCUCUUAUCCAAUAAACCAGCCAUGAAUUCAACUUAAAAAUAAGUUCACAACCAGCCAACCAUUACACAAGAACAAACAACAUACCAUUCUUUCGAAACUAGCUAGGUCUAUUCUGUAUGAUCGAGUUACAACUCGCAAACGCAUAGAUAAUGGAAGGAUAAGCAUAAACGAACCUUGUACUGACUAUAAUCAACGAAACCUGGUCCUUCUUCAUCAAAAAUAAGUUCCUCAACAUGGCUACAAGAAGGAGAAAGAGAAACUAGCAAGCUGUUCGGACUUUUCAGCACUAGAAUCGCAUCGUAACACCCGGAGUACCCUAGGGUUUGUGUGGGAUUUUUGGGUAGGAGUUGCAGGGGCUCAAUUAGGUUUUCUUGGUCUGAAAGAUAGGUGAAAUAACUGUGUUGAUAGUUCCUUAAAUGACCCCUCUUGGCCGACUUUGGGGUUUUUAAUUGAGUCCUCUCAUUUUGGCAAGUAGGUGAUGCACCUACUAGUUACCUACCAGCCUGCGCAUUCUCGCAAAAGUACGAGUAUCUCUCUACUCUGACUCUGUAUCGACAAACAAUUUAAUGCUUUAGAAAACUAGAUGCAUAGAUCUUUAAUUUUGUUGGUAGAUCAUCCCCUAAUUCCAAGUAUAUUAGGAGAAAAGCUCAGUUACAUUUGACCUAAUUUUCAGCACAUUUAUGAAUAGAACUUGUGAUGACCUUUUCCAACUUUUGUUCCAUAACUCGCUUGACAUCAAAACAUAACACCAACUAUCAUACGACUAAAAUAACUCAUAUUAUAAUCUCCUUAUAAUGUUAAUAACCCUAGUUUCAUCCCAAAAGUACAUGGUAAAACAUUCCAACUUGUUGACUUUCGACGAAACUUAUUUUCUUCAAUUUGUUUAGCUUCUAAGCCUUUAAACCCUCUUGCUACUUGGGAUUAAUGAUCUUAAAUAUUUGUAACAUCCGUGUUAACAUGAUGAACUAAAUUUGUAAACUUUUCAAAGAUGAUUCCCUUUCUGAGCUUACAUUAAUUGACUUAUGCCGUACUCUUAUGUACGAAAACAUAUGGUGUAACAUCAUUCCCCCCUUUGGAAUACUCGUCCUCGAAUGUUGACUAAUGCGCUUAUCAGUCUCAUAACCCGUAGCUCUUAAGAAUACUUUAAUAUUGUCUUUGACAUCUAGGAAACUGUUCUGUAAAUAAAUCCAAAGGCCAGGGUAUUCCCCCCUUUAGGCCUCUUUCUCAUACCACAACUUGUGGUCGGAAUUUUUCCAAUCUCAUAAAUAUUGUUACCUUCUGACAUGCAUCAUGUACAGUUGUGUACUUGUAUGUGUGCCUAUGCGACUCUUCUCUCCUUUUUCCUCCAACUUUUAGCCAAUCUCUAGGCCUCACUUUAUGAACAUAUACAGAACUAUGACAAGAUGUCCCUCAAGGCAUAUAUAGGUGUACUAAAGUUCUUCGCUUGGUACUUUAUCGAACUUACGACUAUUGCUAUAUCUUGUUUCAUAGCCUUGUAUAUCUAUCCUUAUGGCUUUUCUACAUCUAGGUAGGUUAUACUAUACCAUAACACUUACUUUUGUUUAUUUUUAUCGAGGUUUGCUACCCAACUCCAGGUUAUUCUCUCGCUACUUAUCCUAUAUGUAUAAAUCUAAGUCAUUUAAUGCUUCCUUAUUAAUGUUCAUCUAAAUAAUGGCAUCAUAAUCUCCUCUCAUAUUUUGGAACUCUUAUCCAUCUAUUAUUGAUUCACCUUAAUGUUGAUCUAUAAUCCACCACUAAUAACUUGAAACCUCUUACGUAAUACAUUGUCACUAGGGCUCACGUCUCAUCGAGGAACAUCUGAAGUGGCUUUCCUUAUCCACCUAGGGACAAUACCAUACUUCAAUAACCUUAUUUUAUAGCAUCCCAAUGUGAUUCGUCUUAUAUUCUAAUCCUGUGCCAUCCAUGAAAUCUCUUCUCUUUGAAUCAUUACUCAAUUGAAGGCCUAAAUAUCAUCCUUUUAUUAUUUACCACAAUUACACCCUUACAUUACGACUAGGGAAGCAUUCUAUCUCUUCUAAAUGCUCCUAGUCUUAGAAUCCUCCGUGUUAAUUCAAGCUAUACUGAGCUUUUUAUAACAUACAUAAACCAUCAUCUCUCUUGUUUGAUGGGCUUAAUACCAAGGUCUUACCUAUUCUUGUCAACUCCUAACUUAGCUUUUCUUAUCCUUACUCCCAUAUACCUAAAGUCUUGUCACUCUGCCAUACUUUAGCUUGCGACCUACAUAUAUCUAUUUGUAAUACUCACAUCCUUCCUUUAACUUGCUAGCACCACAGAUUUCCUUUUGUGCCUUCUCAGUUGUCUUUAAAUGUAAGCAAUUACUUUUCCUGGCCGUUCUGCCAUUUGUUGCAUGAAUACUUGGCUUGUCUUAUUGCCCACGAAUACUAUAAUUUCAUGUACCUCAUAUGAUCUCAAACAUCACCUUUGAUUUGUUUUCCCAUUCAUUAGCCAUUAUAGGCACCACUUUCUUAUGGAGUGCAUCCAAUGUUGUAGUGAGACUAUUGUUACCAGACCAAUUCUUCUUCAAGUUAAUAUGCUUAGGUUGAAGCCCUUUUCCUUAUUUCCUGAGCUAGUCUUUCGUGGUAGUACUUAGGAGACUUUCUGGAUCUUGUAAAGUUGCGAGCUUGAUAUAUCGUACACCUGAAGGAAAUUUUCGUUGUUCUUACUCGCCUAUAAUAAUCCUUAGUUAAAUAACUUUGUGCCCUUGUGCUCGUAGGGUUACUUCUAAGCUCAAAUUUUCAUUGUCUCUUUAGUGGUACUCUCUCUUAUUUUCAUAAAACUUAAACGGUACCUUUAACUGCCUCAACUCCUAUCUAAAUUUUUUUAGAUGAUUGUGAUCUCAUAUCUAUGAGACUAAAUUCCCUAUGAUGUGGUUCAAUACAUUUAUAUUGCAUGAUCUUUUAAUUUAUCUGUGACCUCUUGUUUAGCCAUAACCGGGCUCUUCCUGAAUCAACUACUAAUUACUCGUUGGUCCAUUCUCAUAUAUAUAUUUCGCAUAAGCUCUCUUGGGAUAUAUCCUUUGUCUUAACUUACCUCUCGCCACUAGCUCCUGAUGUUUCAAGUGUCCAUUCACACUUAUUUAUCAAUAACAUCCUGGCUGAAAACUUUUACUACCUUUCCCCGGUAUCGUGCUUGUAUAAAGUUCUGGAGUCACAACAUAUCUGUAGGAACUGAAUAAAUGCAACAUCAUCCCUUUCUCCUUUUCACCACAUUCUUCCUUUACCAUUCCAUAGUUACCUAGACCGCUUAACUCCGACUUAAUACCAUAUCAUACCACAUUCCCUCCUUUAGGGGAGUACUAAGAUUUAGUACUAUGAUGAUCUAGCUAUAGAUGUUUUACCUCUUCAUCUUUGGCGUCUUUUCACAUUAUAAAUGAACCUUAAUCGCCUUAUGGUAAUUUUUUGUACCAGGGAUAACUAAAUUUCUUAUGCAGAAGGUGACACCUAGUGUAAUUGGCACAUUUAGUCCCUUAAGCUUAACUUUGCUCACAUUGCUCGCUUUAGGGAAACCUCUUCCUGAAUGACCUUUAAAGGUUAUUCUUCUAUUGUCCAUUUUAUUAUUGUUGGAACACGAUCUCCGAAAUUCUUAUGAGGCUGACUAUUACCAAAUACUUCGAUCCCUAAUUCAUGUUCAGUUUAUCUUAUUCUCCAUCCCAUACUGAUUUCUAUUACUCCGGGGUCUAAUCUUUCCUUAUGGUAAUCACGUUAGAGUCACCAAAUCAUUUCUCGAAAUGGGAAUAUGACUUUAUGUCUUAUACUCUUUUAUUGUCUUAAGUCCUGUCACCUCUUAUAUCUUCCUUCACUUGACUAUAAACUUUAUCAUCAUGUCGUAUUUUGAUUUACUGUUAUCACCCAUUUAUUACAUCUUACUCAUAAUGCUUUAUUUACUCUCUUCUUAUUCUCCGGCUAAUAUUUCUGUCUAUCACUUUAUUCUGAUAACUUCAACAAAUCAUUCUUUCACUUUUAGCUCCCCUUGCUUCAUCUCACUGGCUCUUUAGGUCACCUAGCAUUCUCUCUUUACUAGGAACGGGAGCCAUACAAAGGUAAAUAUUUAUCCCUUCUAGGAUUUCAGUGCCAAUCUUCUAAAAUUUCUGAACAUUCAUGUAUUCAUAUAUGAUUGUACUAUACUAUGGUGCACCAUCUGGGUGUCUCACAAGGAGAUCUGUUACCACGUUUUCACUAUCCGUCAAAAAUGUUAGCUAAUGAUAACAAUCCAUCUACAAAUUUGGGCUACUCUAACCCCAGCUGGAUCCUAAUAUCCCAUUCUUCUUUUAAACUAUAUUUGUUAGCUCCCAUAGGGCAUAAUUUCGAUGGGCGUGGCCAAUUGUACAUACCUCUGUUGCUGUUGAAUGUAACUCAUAAUACAUAUAUUUCUCUGCCUGAAUUGUAAAACUCAAAACCUUCACUAACUGGUACCUCGUAAUCUUUGUCACCUUGCUUCUUUUAUUUGUUGAAACUUGUAUCUACCUUCUGAUUCUCUUGUUGAUUUUUAAACCAUAUGGGUGGAUAGAUAUUCACGCCUUACGCCUGCUUAUCAAUAAACUUUCACGCUUUAGUACACAUAUAAUCUACUGAAGACCUUACAUUUACUCAUCAUAAGCAUGAUACAAAUUUAUGUUUCAUUGACUCAACUCUUCCAUAACAAAGUUUCUCUUACCUACUAUCUGUUUGGAUGAGGAAUCAUUGUGUUACAAAUAAAAUAGAAUUUACAAGUUUGAAUUCUUACAAUUGUGCUCUACCACACGAUCUAGAGUAAGAAGAAAGAGUGACAGUAAUAAAUGCCCUGCAGCCUCCUACUUAUAAGUGUAGUGCACUACACACCCAUAAAUAAGACUCUACUAGACACGGCUUGUAGACUCCCUAGAACAGAACUGCUCUGAUACCACUUCUGUCACGACCCAAAUUGGAGGGCCGCAAUGGGCAUCCGGUGCCUUACCCAACCGAGUACCAACAUAACGUAUUCUUUCUUAUCAUACCAUUAUGGGUAAAUAGGAUGGAAGGGUCGUCAUGAUAUAACCAGAAUGAAACAUAAGGGAAUACUCAACAUAGGAUGACCCAACAUGAUAUACAACCUUAUACACGUGACAUGCCUAUAAGACCAAAAUGAACACUCGUACAUUGAACAUAUGUUGACAAGGCCAUACAAUCUUUCAUAUGCAUGACAUCUGUCUACAAGCCUCUAAGAGCACACACAUAUUAUAAGGUCGGGGCAGGACCCUGCCAUACCAAUGAAUACAUGUCCAAAUCAUAUUGACCAAAUAGGCAACUCCGGAGAAAGUGUUGUGCACCAACACCUUCUGUUGAGCUAAUAGCCUACUAGGAUGUCAACCUAUCUAUCGGGACCUGUAGCAUGAAAUACAGUGUCCCCAGGCAAAAGGGACAUCAGUAUAAAUAAAGUACCGAGUAUGUAAGGCAGGAAAACAUAAAUAAGAACAGUAAUGUAAAGAGAGAUAGAGGAGAUACAACCUGUAACAUCUGAGUGCCUCUAGGGGCUACUGACAUGAAAUGCAUAAUACAUAUAUAUACAUAAACUUUUUAAAAGCAUACGUCUUUGUGGGCAUCAUCAUCAUCACAUCGUACCCGGCCUCAAAGAGGACCUGGUAAAAAAAACGUACCCGGCCAUCAUAAGGCUCAGUAGAAUCGGACCCGGCCACGUGGAGCUCGGUAAUCCCAACCGAUUAGUUGUUGCACAAUAGGUGUCGUACUCGGCUGACUAUAGCGCACCUCGGUAGAGUAAAAUAGAUACAUAUAUAUAAUGCAUGCUCGACUCAUGGAAUCAUGCUCUAAACCUUUUAGAGUGAUGUAUGGUCAGUAUCCUCUGUACACAUUAUCAGGACUAACUCUUCACUAUGAACCUUAUAAGAAUCAGGAAGUAUCAACAACAUUGAUAACAUAAGAAUAAGAGAAGCAACAUCAACAUCAAUUGUUCCAUAAGAGGGGAAACAAUUUAAGUACUGCUAGCUUCUAAGAGUAGAGUAUCUUUGGAAGAUCGUUCAUUACAUUACGUACAAUCGGAGUCAUGCAAAAGAAGGAAAAGGAUAGCCUCACAUACCUUGUAUAUGUACUGCCCAACCUCAAGCUAUGCAAAUGUCAUGAUUUCUUAGUCUACAAUAAAAGAAAUGACACUAUCGUUAUCGUUUUAGCAUCGUAAUUAUUAUGUAUCGGCCACAACCUAUUUCACAAUGAAAUGGAAAGCACCUCCCCUAUAUAUAUAACUUCACACAAGUCAAAAAAAUCAGAAACAGCCCAACAUAUCUCUAUCACUUCACACACAACACGACAACCAUAAUAGUAUUAAAUAAUCCGAAAAUAUUACGACGAACGACCAACAAACAACCUUGCCAUUAUGUGGUGUUUCUCUACAUUAUUCCUCCUCUCAACUCCAAAAAAAAGUAGCAAAAGAGACAACCCAAUACCAACAUGAAACAACCCACAGAACAGUCCCCUAAGUUUAUCAACUCCAAAGUAAUUUUUCAGUUUACUUAAACACCUUUCGACUUGUCUUUUCUCUCAAUUGAGAAAAACAACCAAAAGUACAUAGUUAUACCUAUUAUCCAAUAAAACAACCAUGAAUUCAACUUAAAAAUAAGUUCACAAUCAGCCAACCAUUACACAAGAAUAAACAACAUACCAUUCUUUCGAAACUAGCUAGGUUUAUUAUUUACGAUCGAGUUACAACUCACAAACGCAUAGAUAAUGGAAGGAGAAGCAUAAAAUUACCUUGUACUGAGUAUAACCCACGAAACCUGGUCUGUCUUCAUCAAAAAUAAGUUCCUCAACACGGCUACAAGAAGGAGAAAGAGAAACUAGCAAGCUGUCUGGACUUUUCAGCACUAGAAUUGUGUCGUAACACCCGGAAUAUCCUAGGGUUUGUGUAGGAUUUUUGGGGAGGAGUUGCAAGGAUUCAAUUAGGUUUUCUUGUUCUUAAAGAUAGGUGAAAUAACUGAGUUGAUAGUCCCUUAAAAGACCCCUCUUGGCCGACUUUGAGGCUUUUAAUUGAGUCCUCUCAUUUUGGCAAGUAGGUGAUGCACCUACUUGUCACCUACCAUCCUGCGCAGUCUCGCAAAAAUACGAGUAUCUCUCUACUCCGACUUCGUAUCAACAAACAAUUUAAUGCUUUAGAUACUAGAAUCAUAGAUAUUUAAUUUGGUAUGUAGAUCAUCCCCUAAUUCCAAGUAUAUUGGGGAAAAAGCUCAGUUACAUUUGACCUAAUUUUCAGCACAUUUAUGAAUGAAACUUGUGAUGAUCUUUUCCAACUUUUGUUUCAUAACUCGCUUGACUUCAAAACAUAACACCAACUAUCAUACGACUAAAAUAACUCAUAUUAUAAUCUCCUUAUAAUGUUAAUAACCCUAGUUUUACCCCAAAAGUACAUGGAAAAAUAUUCCAACUUGUCGACUUUUGACGAAACUUAUUUUCUUCAAUUUGUUUAGCUUCUUAGCCUUUAAACCCUCUUGCUACUUGGUAUUAAAUAUCUUAGAUAUUUGUAACCUCCACGUUAACAUGAUGAACUAACUUUAUAAACUUUUCAAAGAUGAUUCCCUUUUUGAGCUUACAUUAAUUGACUUAUGACGUUCUCUUACGUACGAAAAUAUGGGGUGUAACAAUACCAUUCGUGAGCGACUGUCCAUUUGAGUUUGUGUGUGGUGGUGAAUUUCACAUGGUUGAUUAACGUAUCUUCACUCCCACCAAUGAUCAUUUGUAUAGUACGAGAUGGUGAUAGUGGUUUUAGAGGUCCCUAAGGUUGAUCGCGUCCACGAGAAAAGUUGGCCCAUCCUCGAUUGCUCAGCAGUUCUUUCAGGUAUCACUUGUUUAACAUUCUUACCACUUUCUGUCGCAAACAUAUGCAGUCCUCGGUCUUGUGUCCCCUUUUAUGAUGGAAUUUACAUAGAACAUUCGAUCUCCUCGUGCUCGGAUUCGACUUCAUCUUGUGCGGCCACUACACCUUUGUGGCGAGCUUUUCCAGUGCGUACACUAUUUCUGAAGGAGAAAUACAAAAGUUAUGAGUAGAUAAUAGUGGAGGCAUACCUCUUUCAUUUCAGGGUGGUGCGAUGUGUCGAGGCGCACCAUCUAUAUGUCGUGGAGGAGGUGGGUUGGAUUUUCGGAUAUAGGGCUGGUGCCUUUCUCAAUUGAAACGUGGUAGUUGGUCCCUUCAGCCGUCAUUGCGGUGAUCUCUCCUUGUCUCUGUCUGGACCGAGGUUAGUCAUUGGAUCGGACCGUUCAGGCCAUCCUCAUCUGCCCUCACUUCGGCUCAAUAGGCAUUAUGGAUCUCUUCCCACGUGGUGGGGGGUACUUCAUGAGUCUACUUAGCAGCUUUUUGGUUGCUUUUGACCCAUUUCUAUUUAACCCAUUUUGAAAGGCUGCUACCGCCAUACUUUCUGACACGUUUGGUAUGCUCAUCCUUACCCUGUUGAAUCGGGCUAGGAAAUCCCGAAGUCCUUCAUCUGUCGUUUACCUGACAACGAAGAUAUCAUUUACCCUGGCCUCUGCCUUUUUCGCUCCUGCGUGAGCGGUGACUAACUUAUCUGCCAUUUCUUCGAACGUUCAUAUCGAUCGUGCUGGUAGUUGGGAAUACCAUAUCAACGCUCCUCUUUUCAGAGUUUUGCCAAACUUUUCAGCAGUACUGACGGCACCUGUUCUUUUGAUAGAUCGUUACCUUUUACUAUAGUAACGUAAUGGAUUAAGUGAUCCUCCGGGUCUGUGGUGGCAUCAUAUAUUUUUAGAUAUGGCAGCAUUUUGAAGGUUUUUAGAAUAGAGUGGGAAGCUGCCCCUUCACUAUAUGGUUGUUCGACGAAUCGGCCCACGUCACGUUUUGGUAGCAACUUCGGAGCGCCCGAUAUUUUAUCAACCCUUUCCUGAUGCUCUUUCAUCUGUCGUAGAGUGUUUUGUUCUCAUUUUCCAUCUCUUCCAUUUUCAUUAAGAUGGUCGCAAGUGCAUUGUUGCUUGCAUCAGCGACCGUAUGGGCGUUACUUGUUCGUGUAAUUUCUGGCUCAUCGACGACAGUUGCGGUUUCUGCGGGUAAUGUGUCUUCGAUAUCCCUCUAUACGGGUUUCUCGAGUAUGUUGCUCAAGAUAUUUGUCAGCCAUUCUUCUAAUAGCCUUUUCACGGCUGGUGGUACUUCUCUUGCUGUGGAUGUUAAGGUUUCCCUCUCGCGCGAGACAGUUAAACCCUCUUGGGGGGGUGUGAGAUCUCUCCCUCAGGUGUAGCACUUGAUGUUGCGUUUUUGUUGUCUUCUCCAUUGGCAUCAUUGAGGGAAUUCAGGAGGUUGUUCGUGACACCUACUAUUGCAUUUAGCCUUGUUUCUCCCUUUCCUGCAAUUGUUAGCCUUUGUAAGACUAAAAAGAGGUUAUUAUUUCUUUCAAGAAUCUAGACAAAACUAAGAUCUCAGCUAUAGAAAUCCCCACAGACGGCGCCACAUUGUUUGACUCAAAAGAUAUCGAAAUCUUUUUGAAUAAAUCAAUCAAAGAAAAUGAAGGGGUAAAUCUUAUCUAUGUAUAAUAAUCUCUAGAAAGAAAGAUAGAUAAGGGGAAUACGGAUGAUAAGAAUUCUUUAUCCCAUCUAGACCAAAAGACCUUUCACAAUAAUCUUCUCAAUCUUUUAUGUAAGCAAGUUUACAGCAAGUAUUAUGGAUUAGCAAAAGUGCCUGCCCUUACAAAGUUGUUUCAUGCUAUAUAUAUAUAUAUAUAUAUAUAACGNNNNNNNNNNNNNNNNNNNNNNNNNGUGCAGAUCCAGGUUCUUCUGCUCAGCCAUUCUACCAGUGAGGCGGGCGAUACCAGAGACUUCGAGGUAUAUAUGUCGCGUCCGCAAAUCUAGAAGUCCCUCUCUAUUCUCCCCUCUAGCUUUAGACUUCCUGUACUUACUUUUGAUUAGACAUUCUAGAGUUAGAACACUAUAUAGUUUUUCUACAGUUUGUGAUUUCAUGAGAUUCUGGGUUUUGGGAGUUUGAUUCAAUUUUGAGAGUAUGUAUUGUAUAUGCCGAGCGGCAUUUCCAAACUCUUUACUUAUAUUUUUACUCGUAACUUGCCAGUUUCGUAUUUCAUUUCCUUUUUCCGCAAUUUGUUAGGCUUACCUAGUUGUAGAGACUAGGUAUAGUCACGACAGUUCACGGAGGGAGAACUAGGGUCUUGAAAAGUUAGUAUCAGAGAUCUAGGUUCAUAGAAUGUCAUGAAUCGCAAGCCGAUUUAUUAGAGUCUCACGGAUCGGUACGGAGACGUCUGUACUUAUCUAUGAGAGGCUAUGUAACUAUUAGGAAAAUUCCACUUCAUUUGAUUUCCUUGUUAUGUAAGAGUUUUGAUAUCAAAAUUCUAAACCUCUAUCUUCUAUUCUCUCACAGAUGGCGAGGACACGUGCUACCGGAGAUGAACAGGAACCCGCACCCCCUACUAGAUCCAUCAGUGGUCGGGGCUGGGGUAGAGGCCAAGGACGUGCACGUGGUGCAGCCAGAGCACCCUCGCGAGCUGCCAUAGAGGAGCCACUAGCAACUCCAGCCGGAGCCCAAGCACCUGACACGCCUACUGCUACUACUACUACUCCAGCUCUUCAGGAGACCUUUGCACAGUUCGUGAGCAUGUACACCACUCUAGCUCAGGCAGGGUUAAUUCCCCUUGCUGCAGCCACAUCCCAGGAAAGGGAGGAGCCUAGACUCCCGCCUCCCAUACCCCAGAGCAGCGAGUCCUGGUUAAUUAGAUCCCAGAGGUUAUACCGGUACCGUCUGCAGCCCCAGUUAAGCCCGAGGAUAGGGCAGCAGCUUCGGAGGAUGAGCAGCGGAGGCUUUAGAUGUUCAAGAAGUACAAGCCUCCUAUAUUCAGUGGUCUAGCAUAAGAUGAUGCUCUGGUAUUUCUGGACAAGUUCUAACGUAUCCUCCGCACUAUGGGUAUAUCAGGAUCGAGUGGGGUUUACUUCAGUACCUUCCAUCUUCGAGGAGCAGCGUACCAAUGGCGGCGUACUUAUGAGUUGGAAAGACCAGCUGAGGCACCUUCCCUUAUAUGGACCUAGUUUUCAGAUAUAUUUUGAGGGAGUAUGUUCCUCAAAGCCUUAGGGAUGCAUGACGCGCUAAGUUUGAGCAUUUGCGCCAAGGUGCUAUGAUAGUUUCGGAGCAUGCUGUCCAUUUCACUGACUUGGCUAGGCAUGCAAAAGCCUUGGUUUCUACAGUUCGUGAGAGAGUUCACCGGUUUAUUGAGGGGCUCAUUCCUAGCAUCAAGUCUAGCAUGGCUCGGAAGUUGGAGAUAGAUAUCUCUUAUCAGCAGGUGGUGAGCAUUUCUAGGAGAGUAGAGGGUAUGCAUGCUUGGGAUAGAGAGGAUAGGGAAGCCAAGAGGUCUCGAGGGUCGGGUCAUUAUUCUGGUGCCCGUGCCCCAGUUGCAGUUCAUCAUGGUAGGGGUUAUAUGAGUCGCCCUGUUUAUUCAGCUCUUCUAGCAGCCAGUGGUAUUCCAGCUCCUCCUAGACCCAAAGAGCCUUAUUAUGAACCUCCAGUAUCUAGGCCUCCUACAUGGGGUGCUUUCAGUGGUUAGUCCAGCAGAACUUGAGCGAGCCAGUCACAGCCGCCACUUCCUCCCAGAGCUUGUUUUGAGUGUGGUGACACACACCAUAAGGUGAGAGAUUGCCCCAGACUUAGGAGGGGUGCACCUCCACAGACUUCUGAGCCAUAACAUGCUUCGUAGAGUUCUCAUGCUAUGAUUACAGCACUAGUUGUUGCCCCACCUACCCAACCAGAUAGAGGGGAGGUCGGGGAGGUAGAGGUCUCCCUAGAGGGGGAGGCCAAGCUAGAUAUUAUGCCAUUCCUGCCCAUACUGAGGUUGUCGCCUCCAAUUCUGUCAUCACAUGUAUUGUACUGGUUUAUCAUAUAGAUGCAUCAGUUUUAUUCGAUCUAGGCUCCACUUAUUCUUAUGUGUCCUCUUAUUUUGCCUCGUAUUUGGGCGUACCUCGGAAUUUUUUGAGUUCCCCUGUUUAUGUUUCUACUCCCGUGGGAGAUUCUCUUAUUGAGGACCACGUUUAUCAGUCAUGUUCGAUUGCUCUUAGUGGUUUUGAGACUAGAGCCGAUCUAUUAUUGCUCACCAUGGUAGAUUUAGAUGUUAUCUAGGGCAUGGACCGGUUGUCACCCUAUUAUGCUAUUCUUGCUUGUCUCGCCAAAACCUUGACAUUGGCUAUGCCAAAUGUACUGCGAGUAGAGUCAAGGGGUACCUUAGAUCACACUCCCAGUAGAGUUUUUUCAUUCCUUAAGUCUCAGCGAAUGGUUGACAAGGGUUGUGGCGCAUAUCUAGCUUACGUGACAGAUAUCAGUAUUUAUACCCCUAUAGUUGAUUGAGUCCCAGUAGUAUGGGAUUUCCUUGAUGUGUUUCCAACUGAUCUUCCGGGUAUGCCACCCGACAGCGAUAUUGAUUUCGGCAUUGAUUUGUUGUCGGUCACUCAGCCUAUUUUCAUUCCUCCUUAUCAUAUGGCCCCUCCUGAGUUAAAGGAGUUGAAGGAUAAGUUACAGGAAUUGCUCGAUAAGUGUUUUAUUCAGCCCAGUCACCUUGGGGUGCUCUUGUCUUGUUUGUGAAGAAAAAGGAUGGUUCUAUGCGUAUGUGCAUUGAUUAUCGCCAGUUGAACAAAGUUACAGUGAAGAACCAGUAUCCUUUGACUCGUAUUGAUGAUUUGUUUGACCAGUUAUAAGGUGCUCGAGUGUUUUAUAAGAUUGACUUGCGUUCAGGUUAUCAUUAGUUGAAGAUUCGAGAGCCAGAUAUCCCGAAGACUGCUUUCAAGACUCGGUAUGGUCAUUACGAGUUCCUUGUUAUGUCAUUUGGGCUGACCAAUGCCCCAGCAGCCUUUAUGCAUUUGAUACACAACAUUUUCUGCCAUAUCUUGACUCGUUCAUCAUUGUCUUUAUUGAUGACAUUCUGGUAUACUCCUAGAGUCGGGAGGAUCAUGAGCAGCACCUGAGGACAACGCUUCAGACUUUGAGAGAAAAGAAAUUAUAUGCAAAUUUCUCAAAAUGUAAGUUUUAGUUGGAUUCCGCGAAAUUCUUCGAUCACGUGGUAUCGAAUGAAGGGAUCAAGGUGGAUACAAAGAAGGUGGAGGCGGUAUAGAGUUGGCCCAGACCAUCCUCAACUAUAGAGAUCCGUAGUUUUCUUGGCUUGGCGGGUUAUUACCAUCGAUUUGUUUAGGGAUUUUCAUCUAUUGUAGCACCUAUGACCAAACUGACCCAGAAGGGUGCUCCGUUCCAGUGGACGGAAGAGUGUGAGGAGAUCUUCCAGAAGCUCAAGACAACUUCAGUAUGAUGACCCUCAUUUGCUUAUCCUCAUAGACAAGGUUCUGCAUGGUGAUGCUAGAGAUGUGACCAUUGGUGAUGAUGGUGUAUUGAAGAUGCAAGGUCGAGUAUGUGCACCCAAUGUUGAUGGGCUUCAAGAGUUGAUUCUAGAGGAAGCCCACUGUUUGCGGUAUUCCAUCCAUCUGGGUGCCGCAAAGAUGUACCAAAAUUUGAGACAUCACUAUUGGUGGAGGCGGAUAAAGAAUGAUAUAAUUGGAUUUGUAGCUAGGUGCCUCAAUUGUCAUCAGGUAAAGUAUGAGCACCAGAGACCAGGUGGUUUGCUUCAGCAGAUAGAUAUUCUGGAGUGGAAGUGGCAGCGGAUCACCACGGAUUUCGUAGUUGGACUCUCACAAACUUUGAGAAAGUUCGAUGCCAUUUGGGUGAUUAUGGAUCGGCUGACCAAGUUUGUGCAUUUCAUCCUUUGUGUACCACCUACUCUUCGGAACGGUUGGCGGUGAUUUAUAUCCAGAAGGCUAUUUGUCUGCAUGGUAUUCCAGUUUCCAUCAUUUUAGAUAGAGGUACUUAGUUUACAUCACGGUUCUGGAGGGCCGUACAACAUGAAUUGGAUACUUCGGUGGAGUUGAGCAUAGCAUUUCACCCCCAGACAGACUGACAGUCCGAGCGCACAAUUCAGAUUUUUAAGGGUAUGCGUCGUGCGUGUGUGAUGGAGUUUGGAGGUUCUUGGGAUCAGUUCUUGCCACUAGUGGAGUUUGCCUACAAAAACUGUUAUUAGUCCAACAUUCAGAUGGCACCGUAUGAGGCCUUGUAUGGUAGGCGGUCUAGAUCCCCGGCGGGUUGGUUUGAGCCAGGUGAGGCUAGAUUAUUAGGCACAUACUUGGUUCAAGACGCCUUGGAGAAGGUUAAGGUGAUAUAGGAUAGACUUCGCACAUCCCGGUCCAGAUAGAAGAGUUAUGCGGACCAGAAGGUUCGUGAUGUUUCCUAUAUGGUUGGAGAGCAGGUCUUGCUUCGGGUUUCGCCUAUGAAGGGCGUCAUGAUAUUUGGGAAGAUGGGGAAAUUGAGUCCGGCUUUUAUUUGUCCUUUUGAGGUAUUAUGACGUGUUGGGGAGGUUUCUUAUGAGCUUGCCUUACCUCCCAGCUUGGCAGGAGUUCAUCCGAUAUUUCAUAUUUCGAUGCUUAGAAAGUAUCACGGUGAUCCGUCACAUGUGUUGGAUUUCAGUUCAUUCCAGUUGGACAAGGAUUUAUCUUAUGUGGAGGAUCCAGUGGCGAUAUUGGGUAGGCAAGAUCGAAAGUUGAGGUCAAAGAACAUUGCAUCAAUGAAGGUUCAGUGGCGGGGUCAGCCGGUCGAUUAGGCGACUUGGGAGACCGAACGGGAUAGCGCAGUCAUUACCCUCUUCUUUUCACUACUUCAGAUAUGUUUCUAUGCUCGUUCGAGUACGAACGAAUGUUUUAAGCGGGGGAGGAUGUAACGAUCCGGCCAGUUUUUUUGAGAAUUAACGCCUUGAUCCCCUAUUAACUGCUUUCCCCGGGUUUAUUGUUGCUAUUGUGAGUUGCCGGGAAGUUUUGAGUUUCGAAGUGUUUUGGGACACGUAGUCCCUCAAUGAGAUCUUAAGCUUUAGAAUUUGGACCGUAGUCGGAGCAGUGUGACGACGUCCUCGAAGUGGAAUUCGUAGAUUCUGUUAGCUUCGUUAAGUGAUUUCGGGAUUAAGGGCGUGUUCGGAUUGUGUUUUGGAGGUCUGUGGCUUAUUUAGGCUUGAAAUGCUGAAAGUUGAAUUUUUGAAGUAUUCAGAUUGAUAGUGAGAUUUUUAUAUCGGGGUCAGAAUCCAAUUCCGAAAGUUGGAAUAGCUCUGUAGUGUUGAAUGUGACUUGUGUGCAAAAUUUGGGGUCAAUCAGACAUGGUUUAGUUGGUUUCAGCAUCGGUUGUAGAAUUCUUGAGAUUUCAAGUUCAUUAGGCAUGGAUUGGAGGGUGAAUCAUGGUUUUAGCGUUGUUUGAUGUGAUCUGAGGUUGGAUUAAAUUUGUAUGAUGUUUUAGGAUUGGUUGGCAUGUUUGGUUGAGGUCCCAAGGGCCUCACGUGAGUUUCGGGUGUUUAAUGGAAUUAGAUUUGGACUUAGGCAUUUUCUGAUAUUGCUGAAUCUAUCAUAACCGCACCUGCGUAUGUGGGACGGCAAGUGCGGGACUGCAGAAGCGGCUUGAUGAUCGUAGAAGCAGAUUUAGGCUAGGGCUUCAGGAAUCGCAGGUGCGGCUGGCUGACCGCAAAUGCGGAACCACAGAUGCGGCCAAGUGACCGCAAAUGCGUCCCCAGCCCGGUUAAGUGAAUUUCGCACCUGCGAUGCCUUUUCCGCAGGUGCGUCCCCCCUGACGCAUAUGCGGUAAUCGCUCGGCAGAUAUAGAACUUUUGAGAGUUUGAAGUUCAUAACAUUAAAUUUGAUUUUAGCUCGGGAGAAGGCGAUUUUGAGAGGGUUUUGAAGAGGAAAUCAGUGGGUAACGAUUCCUAACCCUAUUUCGUUUAUAUUUUAUCAAUCUAUUGUUGUUUUACACAUUUAAUCUAAGAAUUUGAGUGGAAGAAUGGGGAUUUGGGGGACAAGUUCCCCAAUUGAAAAUUCGAGUUUUGAGUAAGAUUUGGAGUCGGAUUUUGAUGAUUUUUGUUUGAGUGUGCUCGUGAGUGAAUGGGUGUUCAUAAUUUCUGACUUUUACCCGAUUCCGAGGCUUGGGCCUGGGGAGGAUUGUCGGGCGUUUUUCUAUUUCCUUACCUUAGCUUCGAUUCCUUUAGCUAAAUUUGUUGUUUGUUAUAUUUACAUUAUUAAAUUUAUUUAAUUAGAUUUGGCCCACUAAGAGUUGGAUAAUCGUUGCAAGAGCGUGAUUUCAGAUUUAUUUUGAGUUGGUUCGAGGUAAGUGGUUUGCCUAACCUUGUGUGGGGUGACUCUCCUUAGAAUUUUGGUAUUGUUGUUAUAUGAGUGUCGUAUACGUGAGGUGACGAGUGUGUAAACGUGCUAAUUGUUGAAAAACUCCAUUUUCAUUAAGUAAAUAUCUGCGUUUUCUUCUAAUUGAGAAAUUCUUGUACUUGAAGCCUCUUGUUUAGUUUAGGAAAAGCAUGCUCAUGUGAUCUAAUUGUCUUACUUGCUUUAUCUGCUUACUUGUAUUUUGUGAAACAUGUUUAGAGUAGAAUUCCUAUUUAUUUUCGAAUAGAAUUGUAGGUUCUUUCUUGAGACUGUUGUUUGUUUACUUUGGGACUACGGGACGAUAUCCCGGGAGAUGCCCCUGCAUGUUUACUUUGGGACUACAGAUCGGUAUUCUGAGAGAUCCCCCUGCACGUUUACAUUUGGGACUACGGGACAAUACCCGGAAGAUUCUCCUGUACUAGAUAUUUACUUUGGGCCUACGGAUUGGUAUUCCGGGAGAUUCUCCUACAUAUUUAUGAUUCGGGCUACGAGACGAUAUCAUAGGAGAUCCUCUACACAAUUACAUUAGGAAUUAUGGGACGAUAUCCUCGGAGAUCCCUUGUUGCUAUCUCUAUGUACUGAGUAUAUUAUGUCUGUGAUUUUACUCUUUAUCAAUUGUUAGUAUUUUUAAUUAUACCGUAGCACUUCAUACUAUUUUACCUUGUUUUAUAUGUAUAUAACCAAUAGGGCCCUGACCUUCCUCGUCACUACUCGACCGAGGUUAGGCUUGACACUUAGUGUGUAUCGUUGUAGUGUACUCAUGCCCUUUCCUCCACAUAUUUUUUGUGUGCAGAUCCAGGUUCUUCUGCUCAGCCGUUCUACUAGUGAGGCAAGCGAUAUCAGAGAUUUCAAGGCAUAUCUGCCGCAUCCGCAGAUCCAGAAGUCCAUCUCUAUUCUCCCCUCUAGCUUUAGACAUUCUGUAUUUACUUUUGAUUAGAUAUUCUGGAGUUAGAACACUAUAUAGUUUUUCUACAGCUUGUGAUUUCAUGAGAUUCCGGGUUUUGGGAUUUUGAUUCGGUUUUGAGAUAACGUAUUGUAUAUACCGAGCGGCAUUUUCAAACUCUUUACUUAUGUUUUUACUCGUAACUUGCCAGUUUUGUAUUUCAUUUCCUUUUUUCAAAAUUUGUUAGGCUUACCUAGUUGUAGAGACUAGGUGCCGUCACGAAAGUUCAUGGAGGAUGAACUAGGGUCAUGACAGUUUCACUGGCAAAGUCUUGGAACAAUCUAUCAAAAUGCUUCUGUGCUUCUCCAUCAGACGGCUGGUGCAGCACACCAUCUAGCCUUCUAUAUUCAUAGCGCUAUCUCAUAUGAGGAGCGGAACUCAUUGAUGUAUAAUACCUCUUUAACCUUAGUAUAAGGGGUAAGUAGUGCAUCAACUUCAAUGGAACCUUCUUCUAUUUAGCAUUUGUGACAUCAUUGAAAUAAGGCAGGUUAAAAAAUGUAUUAUUUUCUAAAGCUUCAUCAUCCUUAUAGAAUAACAUGCAACCUUUAUUACAACAAUCAAUCCUCUUCGAUGAAAGACUCAACUUGGAAACUAAUUUCUUUGCCGUGUAAAAAUCUUUGGGCAGGUAAAUCUUUGUCGGAUUAAGUUCAUUCAUAAGGCCAAUGAUAGAAUCCAUGUCACUUGAGAAAUAGAAUUAUCUGAUUUAAUACUUAGUAAUCUAACUGCAACAAACAAUUUGGAAUACAUUGCGCCUUCAUAAAGAGGACAACUAGCUUCCUCUAACUACUUGAAGAAGCUCUUAGCCUCAUCAUUUGGUUUAGAUUGAGCCCCUGGGAACAUCUCAAAAGCAUCCCUCAUCAUUUCAUUGAAUCGAAAUUUUUUUACAUUAUUAUUCCCCGCUAUGGGACUAUCGUCUUCUCCACCAAAAGAAUUUUGAAAAUCAAUAUCAUUUACACUAGCAUGACUCUGCUCAUAAAUAGUCCACUCAUAAUAAUUUACCAUACACCCCUUCUUAUAUAGAUGAACAGUAAUAAUGUCGGAAGCCAAUAACUUAACUCACUUGCAUUUCACACAAGGACACCUAAUCGUCCCUUCAAUAAGGAAAUCAUCAAAUGUCUUUUCUUUACCAAUAAAGCCAGCAACCACUUCUAUAAAUUCUUCCCGCAAACCGUUACGAUUCGCAUGAUUCCUAUUGUACAACCAUCUACGAUGUGUAAAUUCCAUCUACACAUAGAAGAAAAUUAGAAAUUGAAAUAUUUAUGUUAUUUACCCUAAUCAAUAAAUUUUAUUCUUUAAAGGUUACUUAUCUAAAUAGUUUAAUUAUAUAUUUAAGUGUAAUUUGAUAUUUAUCUAUCUGAUUUAGUAAUCUAAAAAGGUUUUUGCAUUCAUCCAUACUCAUUGGUAAACUCAAAAGCAACAACAAGCGUUAAACAUUAUAUUCAAAAAACCUUAGCUUAAUACAAUUUCAAACCAAUGAGAUUAUUAUAUUUAAUAAACUUUAAUCUUACAAUUAUUUUGUAUAUUUACUUCACUAUUGUUUAAAGUAUAGAAGCUACAUAACAUAAAUAAUAUAAAAUACAAUUAAAUCCCUUUGAAAGAUGAAUCAAAAUUAAUGCUAUAAUUAUUCAACACACUACUUAAUGGUAACUGAAUAACAUAUAUACAUUACAAUGUGAAAAUAAAGUCAAAAUUGAAUAGUUUUAUUCCUAAUUUUAUAACAUAUAUAAUUUACCAUACCUUUCGAAGAUUACUCCUAUUGAAGAAGAAUAUAUAUCUCAACUUUCAAAAGAAGAUUAAUUUUAAUGUUACUCAAGGUUAAUUCACUUCUAAUUUUUUUAUUCAAAAGAAGAUUACUUUUAAUGUUACUCAAGGAUCUAAACAAUAGUUAUUCAAAGUCAAAAUUAAAUUAUUCUUCAUUUCAACUCUAAUUUCAAUUCUAAUCAUAUCAAACAAAAAAAUCUACAAUUCAAAUUUUAAUAGCAAUACAAAUAAAAAGAACAAAUAUAUUAACAUUCAAGUCCAGAGAAAGAUGAUGGAAGGACUUACCUCGCCAGAGAAGAUGCAUGCUGCCGGAGAAGACUCACGUUGCCGGAAAAGAUAUAAACACUACCUGAAAAAGAAAAAAAGAGGGGUUAGAAGGGGAGUUGGCCUUGACAGAGAUGAGGCGGAGAGGGAGGAAGGGAAAAAGAGAUAUAUACCGUCGGGCAAUUCGGCAACGACGACGUGGGAUGAACAAGUGGGCAAAGAGAGUGAAGGGGGCUAAGAUAAGAGAAAGAAAAGAGAAAGAGAAUAAAAAAAGAAGAAAGGGGUCGGGGCUAGGAUAUAAAUAACAUUUUCGAACGAUUCGGUCUAAAACAAAAUUAGAUUUCAAAAAUGCGCAUUUUUUCG